rnacentral:rRNA from 1 species
UACGUAGGGUGCAAGCGUUAUCCGGAAUUAUUGGGCGUAAAGAGCUCGUAGGCGGUUUGUCGCGUCUGCUGUGAAAACUGGGGGCUCAACCCCCAGCCUGCAGUGGGUACGGGCAGACUAGAGUGCGGUAGGGGAGAUUGGAAUUCCUGGUGUAGCGGUGGAAUGCGCAGAUAUCAGGAGGAACACCGAUGGCGAAGGCA